rnacentral:tRNA from 1 species
UCUAGAAUGGCAGAAUAGUGCAUUGGACUUAAGAUCUAAACAUAAAGUUAAACUUUUUCUAGAA